GAAUGGGAAUUUGGAAACUCUGUUGGCCUUUGCCAUAGGAAAACAAGGAGAGCAUCUGUGAGUCCUAGAGUCUAGCUCUGUCAUCCAGGCUGGAGUGUACUGGUGUGAUCUCGGCUCACUGCAACAUCCUCCUCCCGGGUUCAAGAGAUUCUCCUGCUUCAGCCUCCCAAGUAGCUGGGACUACUGGCGCAUGCCACCACGACUGGCUAAUUUUUGUAUUUUUUAGUAGAGAUGGGGUUUCACCAUCUUGGCCAGGCUGGUCUCGAACUCCUGACCUCAGGUGAUCCACCCGUCUCGGCCUCCUAAAGUGCUGGCAUUACAGGCGUGAGCCACCGUGCCCAGCCACCAGCAGUAAAUUUUUGAGGAACUUAAACUACCAGCCUUAUCUUGGUAGAUACCCCAUCGUCUCAAUCUUGAUGAGCCACAGGCAUUUUGUUGUUACUGUUAUUUGAAUUUUUAUAAUCCAAGCCAUUAAAGAGACAAGUCUGGUCAGCUUAUUAUAUGGUAUCAACAAUUGGCUCAAAUGGGAAGAGCAGUUGUUGUAGACUGAAUUGUGUCUCCCCCAAAUCCAUAUGUUGAAACUCUAACACCCAAUAUGACUG
rnacentral:lncRNA from 1 species